UUUCUUUUUGAAGAUAUAAGAAGUAAGACCUGCCCACUGAAUUAGUUUAAAGGGCCGCAGUAUUUUGACUGUGCAAAGGUAGCAUAAUCAUUAGCUUUUUAAUUGAAGGCUUGUAUGAAGGGUCAAACGAAAUUUUAAUUGUCUCUUAGUGAUUUAUUUAAUUUUAUUUUAUAGUGAAAAAGCUAUAAUAUUUUAAAAGGACGAGAAGACCCCGUAGAGCUUUAUGGAAAAUUGAAUAUUAGAAAAUUUAAUAAAUAAUCCAUUGAAUUGGGGUGAUGAUGAAAUAAAUAAACUUUUAAAAAUUUACCAUUAAUAAAUGAAUAUUAGAUCUUAAGAUACAUAAAGAAUAAGUUACCUUGGGGAUAACAGCGUAAUUAUUUUGGAGAGUUCAAAUUGAUAAAAUAGUUUGCGACCUCGAUGUUGGAUUAGAAAAAUUAUUUAAAGCAAAAAUUAAAUUGUUUAGUCUGUUCGACUAUUAAAUUUCUA
rnacentral:rRNA from 1 species